AAGGGCUGACCACCACUAAGGCAGCAUCUUUUGGAGAUUGGUCCUUGGUGGAGGUUGCCUCAGCGGUUCCCAGCAGACUGAAGGCUUCCAUACGGAUAUGAAAGAUUAACUCCCUGCCUCUGCGCCUUAUUGCCGUUCAAUUCCUGCAGCACAACUCCUGACUCCCAUAGUACCUCAAAAACAGUUUAUCCAGUGACAUGAGGUCUUAUUCCUCAGCCUAAAGCCAAACUGAGAGUGAAGUUUUGAUGUGUACAGGCUGACCAACCCUCCCUUUGUGUGUUGCUGGCUGACCUCUACCAAAACAUCACCCUAGCAGUCCCACCGUGUUCAGCUGUGGAAGGAGUGCUGGUGCCCUCAGCCCAAUGGAAGGCUGCAGCACCACAACUGUAAUGCAUUUUGUGCUGGCUUAGAGAAGUGGCUGGAUCCCUGGCUGCCAAAAUUUGUUAGGGUUGAGUUAACCUUGGCAGACCUACCUGCCCUUGCAGAGCAUAAUCACCCCUUAGGAGCCUGUGCCAUUAACUAGACAGAUGGUCUUAAUCCCUCUCUUCCUGGAUGGUUGUGCACAUCAUGACUGAGACUUACCAGACAGACCUCAAGGACUAAGUGUCACUGGAAACUGAAUGACCGCUGCCUGUGCUGCUGUCACCCUGGCCAUGCUGGAGCAGGUGGCGGGCGCCAGGCUUUCCAUAUGCUAUCUGCUGUGCCACUGGGAAGAAGACAGGUCAUCAGGACACUUACACCUCUGCAAAGAAUGAAUGAGCUACCCAUGGAUCUAAAUAAUAGCUCCGGUAGUCAGGAAACACCACGAGGAGUAAAUACACAGGCUCUGGUAUGCAUGAGAGGAAAAAAACAAACAAGCAGAGGUUCUGCUGUACAAGCUGAGCAAACACUUAAGCUUACACAACUCAGUGUUUCUUCCUUCUUCAGUCCCUCAUGCUACUGCCUCAGCUUGUUAUACCUCCACCAUCACCUGUUUCCGUGUCUCUUGGUCCUGUGAUGCCCAGGUAAUUUCCCCCACAUUCAUCUGCCUGCUUUCUCACGAUGGCCCACAGAGCACAUCAGUUCAAUGCCUAGGAGUGGGCUCCCCGAGUCAGCGGGAUUUUUUUGGUCACCCUCUGGGCACUUUUCAAAUCCAUAGCAAAACCUUUCAGUAGAGUUAAUGGGUUAUUCUGCAGUCUCUGGAAUGCUGGACUCAGACAUUAAAGAUCUGAUCCUCCUCUAGCUCCAUCCAUGGAAGCACAUCAGGAUUUUUCCUCUUCAGCUUCUUUGUAUUUGAUAUGCUGGUACAGGACCAGGUUCAUUCUGGCAGAGCUGAAUGUCAUGAAUCAAGGCAAGCUACUCUUUGAAGAGAUGAUAAUAGUUCUAAUCUUCUAUCAUUAUCCCCCAAAGCAUCAGGAAUGCGCUGGGUAAAUAGUUGCAGCAAAAUGAGGCAAGUUGAAAUUUCCACCUGGGCCUCAGUCUUCCGUGGCUGAGCUGGGUUAAAACUGAACUUCUACUUUGAGCUCAUCUCCAGUCUAAAGCCUGGGUGUACAACAAGGAUAAGCAUAUGGACUGAUUCCAUGGUCACAUAAGCACUGCCUCUGGCACUUCUGAGAAUUCAAACUAAACCCCGAACCAAGGAAGGACUAAGCCCAUAUGAAAUUCUCUAUGGGCGACCUUAUGCUGUACAACAGGG